rnacentral:rRNA from 1 species
UGAGGAACAUGACCUUCGGCGGGGGAUAGCCGGCCCAACGGCCGGGUAAUACCGCGUACGACCACAUGGGGACAUCCCUGAGUGGUGAAAGCAGCAAUGCGCCGAUGGAGUGCCUCGCGGCCUAUCAGCUAGUUGGUGAGGUAACGGCUCACCAAGGCGACGACGGGUAGCUGGUCUGAGAGGAUGAUCAGCCACAUUGGGACUGAGACACGGCCCAGAUCCCGUACGGGG